rnacentral:rRNA from 1 species
UACGAAGGGGGCUAGCGUUGCUCGGAAUCACUGGGCGUAAAGCGCACGUAGGCGGAUCGUUAAGUCAGGGGUGAAAUCCUGGAGCUCAACUCCAGAACUGCCUUGAUACUGGCGACCUUGAGUUCGGGAGAGGUGAGUGGAACUGCGAGUGUAGAGGUGAAAUUCGUAGAUAUUCGCAAGAACACCAGUGGCGAAGGCGGCUCACUGGCCCGAUACUGACGCUGAGGUGCGAAAGCGUGGGAGCAACAGG